rfam:Otolemur garnettii contig159819, whole genome shotgun sequence.
CCAAGGUUGUCACACACCUAUAGUCUCAGCUACUGAGGAGGCUGAGACAGGAGGAUCGCUUGAGUCCAGGAGUUCUGGGCUGUAGUGCACUAUACCAAUCGGGUGUCCACACUAAUUUCAGUAUCAAUAUGGUGACCUCCUGGGAGUGGGGGGCCACCAGGUUGCCUAAGGAGGGGUCAACCAGCUGAGAUCGGAAACAGAGCAGGUCAAAACUCCCGUACUGAUCAGUAGUGGGAUUGCGCCUGUGAAUAGCCACUGCUCUCCAGCCUGGGCAACAAAGUGAGACCCUGACUCUA